UGAGAAGGGUCAUCCUCCCCUCAGCUGGAGCAGCGCCCAGCUGGCUGGAGACUUGAGCAGGCGUGAAGAGAAACAGAUGUGGCGGGUGCAAGUGCGGUUGGGGCGGCUGUCAUCCAUUCGGAGGUAAAUAUCGUCCAUGCCCAGGAGCCAGUGCCCUCCUCCAGACCCGCCCUUUCCAGUAGGCUCCCGCUCUGCCAACUGGCUCCUCAUGGAGAUGUAAACAACCAAACUAGAUCAGCUGGCCUUCCCAGGAAGGUACCCGAAGGCUUGGGCUUCAUCAACGGAAUGGAUUCUAAUGGUAGAAUGUCAAGCAUCCUGGAGGGCAGAAAGCAGCGACUGUACAGGGCACAAAUAACACUGUGAAAGGACCAGGAUGCAGUGGGUGAUGGACUAAGCAAUGGCCUGUGAUGCUCCCUCCAGAAGAAGUGGGAGGAAACAACAUUUAUGGAGCAUCUUUUGCAUGUACCAGUGUGCAUGUGACCAUUUGGUGCGAUGAAAGUGUAAAAGGUCAAAUUGUUCCUGACUUGAGCUAUCCUGAUUAAUUUCAACGUGGGAUCUGUCUUCUACCAUAUUAUCCUACAUUUGAUAAGAACAUAGUCAAAGUCUCAUCCAGCUUGCUACGGAAGGACAGAGGGCUGCCUCUUCGAAAGGAGUUUGAGUUGUGUUCCUGUCACUUACUACUAAACGAAUCGUAAUACAGAAAUUGGAACCUGACUGGGGAGUGGAAAUUGAAGCUGUAGAAUCCUGGAAACUGGAGUGGUGAUACCUGGGAAGGACGACAACCAGCCAAGCGCCUCAUGAUGUGCACUCCCUGACUGAUGAGGAAUUGCCAGCCUCCCCCACCGCAGCCCAGCGUGAUGCAAAAGUCCCUGAGCAGGGACAACAUUGAGGGCAGAGCAGCCAGCCGUGCCUUCCCUCCUCACAUUUCCCGCUGAGCCCUAGAGGAAGGGCAGAGCCUCCGGAGCUGCCCUGAGAAGCUGGAGCCACGUGGGUGGCGUCCAAUAUGCCCUCAUGCCUUACAGCUUUCUGGGGUUGGUUACUGGCCAAAAGAGACCCCCAAAAUGAAACUCACUAUCAGCUGAUUAAGAUUUCAGAGUUGAAGAGUUAAUAAAGCCCAAGUCUGCCAAACUGAGGUGUGUGAUUACUCCAACCACUAAAGGAGUUAGUUUUCAAACAUUCUUAAUGAUAAGAAUCACCUGAGAUGAUUGUUAAAAAUAGAGAUUCCCAAGCACCUCCCCUUGGAGAGUCAGUGGAUGUGGUGUGUGAUUGAGAAUCUGUAUUUUCACUGAAUUCCCC
rnacentral:lncRNA from 1 species